GUGGGAGACAUCUACAGGUGUGAGGCUGGUUCUAUAGAACAGACCGAAGCAGAGGAAUGAGCAGCUGGUAUAUCUAGACCUAUAUACUAUCUACUAUAGGACAGCCACACUGCAGGUUGGAGGAGUGAUCUGUUAGAGUGUGUGUGUAUUCUGACAUUUGCAGAUUUAAAGAUAAUUGUCUUGCAAUUCUAUUAAUUUUUCCAUGUCUAAUGUAUAUUAAUGUGAUGUAUACCCGCGGCCUCCCUGACGACCCCUAGAGUGCCCACCCCACAGUUUGGGAACCACUGUACUAUAGAACAGCCACACCGCAGGUUGGGAACCACUGUACUAUAGGAACCACUGUACUAUAGAACCACUGUACUAUAGGAACCACUGUACUAUAGGAACCACUGUACUAUAGGAACCACUGCACUAUAGGAACCACUGUACUAUAGGAAUCACUGUAUUAUAGGAACCACUGUACUAUAGGAACCACUGUACUAUAAGAACCACGGUACAAUAGAACAGCCACACCGCUAUAGAACAGCCACACCGCAGGUUGGGAACCACUGUACUAUAGGAACCACGGUACUAUAGGAACCACGGUACUAUAGGAACCACGGUACUAUAGAACAGCCACACCGCAGGUUGGGAACCACUGUACUAUAGGAACCACUGUACUAUAGGAACCACUGUACUAUAGAACAGCCACACCACAGGUUCGGAACCACGGUACUAUAGGAACCACGGUACUAUAGGAACCACUGUACUAUAGGAACCACUGCACUAUAGGAACCACUGCACUAUAGAACAGCCACACCACAGGUUGGGAACCACUGUACUAUAGGAACCACUGUACUAUAGAACCACUGCACUAUAGGAACCACUGCACUAUAGGAACCACUGCACUAUAGAACAGCCACACCACAGGUUGGGAACCACUGUACUAUAGGAACCACUGUACUAUAGAACCACUGCACUAUAGGAACCACUGUACUAUAGGAACCACGGUACUAUAGAACAGCUACACCACUGCACUAUAGGAACCACUGUACUAUAGGAACCACUGUACUAUAGGAACCACGGUACUAUAGGAACCACGGUACUAUAGGAACCACGGUACUAUAGGAACCACUGUACUAUAGGAACCACGGUACUAUAGGAACCACGGUACUAUAGGAACCACUGUACUAUAGAACAGCCACACCACAGGUUGGGAACCACUGUACUAUAGGAACCACUGUACUAUAGGAACCACUGUACUAUAGGAACCACUGUACUAUAGAACAGCCACACCACAGGUUGGGAACCACUGUACUAUAGGAACCACUGUACUAUAGGAACCACUGUACUAUAGGAACCACUGUACUAUAGGAACCACUGUCCUAUAGAACAGCCACACCGCAGGUUGGGAACCACUGUACUAUAGAACAGCCACACCGCAGGUUGGGAACCACUAAUAUAGGAACCACUGUACUAUAGGAACCACUGUACUAUAGGAACCACUGUACUAUAGAACAGCCACACCGCAGGUUGGGAACCACUGUACUAUAGGAACCACUGUACUAUAGAACCACUGUACUAUAGGAACCACUGUACUAUAGGAACCACUGUACUAUAGGAACCACUGCACUAUAGGAACCACUGUACUAUAGGAAUCACUGUAUUAUAGGAACCACUGUACUAUAGGAACCACUGUACUAUAAGAACCACGGUACAAUAGAACAGCCACACCGCUAUAGAACAGCCACACCGCAGGUUGGGAACCACUGUACUAUAGGAACCACGGUACUAUAGGAACCACGGUACUAUAGGAACCACGGUACUAUAGAACAGCCACACCGCAGGUUGGGAACCACUGUACUAUAGGAACCACGGUACUAUAGGAACCACGGUACUAUAGGAACCACGGUACUAUAGGAACCACGGUACUAUAGAACAGCCACACCGCAGGUUGGGAACCACUGUACUAUAGGAACCACUGUACUAUAGGAACCACUGUACUAUAGAACAGCCACACCACAGGUUGGGAACCACUGUACUAUAGGAACCACUGUACUAUAGAACCACUGCACUAUAGGAACCACUGCACUAUAGGAACCACUGCACUAUAGAACAGCCACACCACAGGUUGGGAACCACUGUACUAUAGGAACCACUGUACUAUAGAACCACUGCACUAUAGGAACCACUGUACUAUAGGAACCACGGUACUAUAGAACAGCUACACCACAGGUUGGGAACCACUGCACUAUAGGAACCACUGUACUAUAGGAACCACUGUACUAUAGGAACCACGGUACUAUAGGAACCACGGUACUAUAGGAACCACUGUACUAUAGGAACCACGGUACUAUAGGAACCACGGUACUAUAGGAACCACUGUACUAUAGGAACCACUGUACUAUAGAACAGCCACACCACAGGUUGGGAACCACUGUACUAUAGGAACCACUGUACUAUAGGAACCACUCUACUAUAGGAACCACUGUACUAUAGGAACCACUGUACUAUAGAACAGCCACACCACAGGUUGGGAACCACUGUACUAUAGGAACCACUGUACUAUAGGAACCACUGUACUAUAGGACAGCCAAACUGCAGGUUGGGAACCACUGUACUAUAGGAACCACUGUACUAUAGAACAGCCACACCGCAGGUUGGGAACCACUGUACUAUAGGAACCACUGUACUAUAGGAACCACUGCACUAUAGAACAGCCAAACCGCAGGUUGGGAACCACUCCACUAUAGGAACCACUGUACUAUAGGAACCACUGCACUAUAGAACAGCCAAACCGCAGGUUGGGAACCACUGCACUAUAUGAACCGCUGCACUAUAGGAACCGCUGCACUAUAGGAACCGCUGCACUAUAGGAACCGCUGCACUAUAGGAACCACUGUACUGUAGGAACCACGGUACUAUAGGAACCACGGUACUAUAGAACAGCUACACCGCAGGUUGGGAACCACUGUACUAUAGGAACCACUGUACUAUAGGAACCACUGUACUAUAGAACAGCCACACCGCAGGUUGGGAACCACUGUACUAUAGGAACCACUGUACUAUAGGAACCACUGUACUAUAGGAACCACUGUACUAUAGGAACCACUGUACUACAGAACCACUGUACUAUAGGAACCACUGUAUUAUAGGAACCACUGUACUAUAGAACCACUGUACUAUAGAACCACUGUACUAUAGAACCACUGUACUAUAGGAACCACUGUACUAUAGAACAGCCACACCGCAGGUUGGGAACCACUGUACUAUAGGAACCACUGUACUAUAGGAACCACUGUACUAUAGGAACCACUGUACUAUAGAACAGCCACACCACAGGUUGGGAACCACUGUACUAUAGGAACCACUGUACUAUAGAACCACUGCACUAUAGGAACCACUGCACUAUAGGAACCACUGCACUAUAGAACAGCCACACCACAGGUUGGGAACCACUGUACUAUAGGAACCACUGUACUAUAGAACCACUGCACUAUAGGAACCACUGCACUAUAGGAACCACUGCACUAUAGAACAGCCACACCACAGGUUGGGAACCACUGUACUAUAGGAACCACUGUACUAUAGAACCACUGCACUAUAGGAACCACUGUACUAUAGGAACGACGGUACUAUAGGAACCACUGUACUAUAGAACAGCUACACCACAGGUUGGGAACCACUGCACUAUAGGAACCACGGUACUAUAGGAACCACGGUACUAUAGGAACCACUGUACUAUAGGAACCACUGUACUAUAGGAACCACGGUACUAUAGGAACCACGGUACUAUAGGAACCACGGUACUAUAGGAACCACUGUACUAUAGGAACCACUGUACUAUAGAACAGCCACACCACAGGUUGGGAACCACUGUACUAUAGGAACCACUGUACUAUAGGAACCACUGUACUAUAGAACAGCCACACCACAGGUUGGGAACCACUGUACUAUAGGAACCACUGUACUAUAGGAACCACUGUACUAUAGGAACCACUGUACUAUAGGAACCACUGUACUAUAGGAACCACUGUACUAUAGAACCACUGUACUAUAGAACCACUGUACUAUAGAACCACUGUACUAUAGAACCACUGUACUAUAGAACCACUGUACUAUAGAACCACUGUACUAUAGGAACCACUGUACUAUAGGAACCACUGUACUAUAGGAACCACUGUACUAUAGGAACCACUGUACUAUAGGACAGCCACACCGCAGGUUGGGAACCACUGUACUAUAGGAACCACUGUACUAUAGGAACCACUGUACUAUAGGAACCACUGUACUAUAGGAACCACUGUACUAUAGAACAGCCACACCACAGGUUGGGAACCACUGUACUAUAGGAACCACUGUACUAUAGGAACCACUGUACUAUAGGAGCCACUGUACUAUAGAACAGCCACACCGCAGGUUGGGAACCACUGUACUAUAGGAACCACUGUACUAUAGGAACCACUGUACUAUAGGAACCACUGUACUAUAGGAACCACUGUACUAUAGGAACCACUGCACUAUAGGAACCACUGUACUAUAGGAACCACUGUACUAUAGGAACCACUGUACUAUAGGAACCACUGUACUAUAGGAACCACGGUACAAUAGAACAGCCACACCGCUAUAGAACAGCCACACCGCAGGUUGGGAACCACUGUACUAUAGGAACCACGGUACUAUAGGAACCACGGUACUAUAGGAACCACGGUACUAUAGGAACCACGGUACUAUAGAACAGCCACACCGCAGGUUGGGAACCACUGUACUAUAGGAACCACUGUACUAUAGGAACCACUGUACUAUAGAACAGCCACACCACAGGUUCGGAACCACGGUACUAUAGGAACCACUGUACUAUAGGAACCACUGCACUAUAGGAACCACUGUACUAUAGGAACCACUGUACUAUAGAACAGCCACACCACAGGUUGGGAACCACUGUACUAUAGGAACCACUGUACUAUAGAACCACUGCACUAUAGGAACCACUGCACUAUAGAACAGCCACACCACAGGUUGGGAACCACUGUACUAUAGGAACCACUGUACUAUAGAACCACUGCACUAUAGGAACCACUGUACUAUAGGAACCACAGUACUAUAGGAACCACUGUACUAUAGGACAGCUACACCACAGGUUGGGAACCACUGCACUAUAGGAACCACUGUACUAUAGAACCACUGUACUAUAGGAACCACUGUACUAUAGGAACCACUGUACUAUAGGAACCACUGUACUAUAGAACAGCCACACCACAGGUUGGGAACCACUGUACUAUAGGAACCACGGUACUAUAGGAACCACUGUACUAUAGAACAGCCACACCACAGGUUGGGAACCACUGUACUAUAGGAACCACUGUACUAUAGGAACCACUGUACUAUAGGAACCACUGUACUAUAGAACAGCCACACCACAGGUUGGGAACCACUGUACUAUAGGAACCACUUUACUAUAGGAACCACUGUACU